rnacentral:rRNA from 1 species
GCUCGUAGUUGGAUCUCAGGCAUGGUGCUAGUGGUCCACCUCAGGUGUGACUGCUAGUUCGCCGCCUAAUUAGCUGUAUGUGGUCGUGUAUGCUCUUCAGUGGGUGUGCAUGAUACUCAGCACGUUUACUUUGAAAAAAUCAGAGUGCUCAAAGCAAGCGUUGCGCUUGAAUAGUGUUGCAUGGAAUAAUAAAAUAGGACUUCGCGUCUAUUUUGUUGGUUUUCGGUCACGAAGUAAUGAUUAAAAGAGACAAAUGGGGGCAUCUGUAUGGUGGCGUUAGAGGUGAAAUUCGAUGACCGCCGCCAGACAAUCUACUGCGAAAGCAUUUGCCAAAGAUGUUUUCAUUAAUCAAGAACGAAAGUCAGAGGUUCGAAGACGAUCAGAUACCGUCCUAGUUCUGACCAUAAACGAUGCCGAUUGACAAUCAGGGUUUUUUAUUUUUUCUGAAUCCUGGCAGUCCCUGGGAAACCUUUAAAUCUACAGGUUCUGGGGGAAGUAUGGUUGCAAGGCUGAAACUUAAAGGAAUUGACGGAAGGGCACCACCAGGAGUGGAGCCUGCGGCUUAAUUUGACUCAACACGGGGAAACUCACCCGGCCCGAACACUGUGAGGAUUGACAGAUUGAUAGCUCUUUCUUGAUUCAGUGGGUGGUGGUGCAUGGCCGUUCUUAGUUGGUGGAGUGAUUUGUCUGGUUAAUUCCGAUAACGAACGAGACUCUAGCCUGCUAAAUAGUCAGCUGGUAUCUACUUUGCCAGUAUGACUUCUUAGAGGGAUAGGCUACGUUUAGUGGCAAGAAAGUGAGCAAUAACAGGUCUGUGAUGCCCUUAGAUGUUCGGGGCCGCACGCGCGCUACACUGGCAAUAGCAAUAAGUUCACACCUGUGCCGAAAGGCUUGGGGAAUCUUACGAAAUAUUGCCAUGUCAGGGAUUGGGGCUUGUAAUUAUUCCCCAUGAACGAGGAAUUCCCAGU